GACGAACGCUGGCGGCGUGCCUGACACAUGCAAGUCGGACGGUUCUUGUAUCUUCAAGCUUGCUUGCAGGUGCAAGGAUAGUGGCGCACGGGUGAGUAACGCGUGGGAACGUGCCCUUCAGUACGGGACAACGUCGGGAAACUGACGCUAAUACCGUAUAAUAUCUCCGGAUCAAAGAUUUAUCGCUGAAGGAUCGGCCCGCGUCUGAUUAGUUUGUUGGUGAGGUAACGGCUCACCAAGACUACGAUCAGUAGCUGGUCUGAGAGGAUGAUCAGCCACACUGGGACUGAGACACGGCCCAGACUCCUACGGGAGGCAGCAGUUAGGAAUAUUGGACAAUGGGGGAAACCCUGAUCCAGCCAUGCCGCGUGUGUGAUGAAGGCCUUAGGGUUGUAAAGCACUUUCGUUGGGGAUGAUAAUGACCGUACCCAAAGAAGAAGCCACGGCUAAAUUCGUGCCAGCAGCCGCGGUAAUACGUAGCGU
rnacentral:rRNA from 1 species